ACCCUUCGGGGCAUAAUUACUCUGAUUUGAUAUGUUAUUAUUUUAAUUAAAAAUUUUGGGGUAUUUAGAAGGGUGUUACAUAAGUGGUAUCAGAGCAUAGUCGGUCGAGUCGAGUCGUAAUUAUUCUGUUUCCCCUGUACGGUAUAGGUGUUGUGUAACCUAUCAGUACUCAUUGUUUUAGUUGUUUGGGUUCUCAGAAUAGAGAUGGCUGGAAGAGGUAGAGAUGAUGCUGCGAUUG
rnacentral:lncRNA from 1 species